rnacentral:misc_RNA from 1 species
CUCAUCUAAGCACAUUGACAUUGUCAACCAGUGCGGAUUCCACCCAUAAAAGUCCUAGGAUCAGGACAGCUCCCCGUAAAUUGUGCCUGGGAGAAGUCAAAACCAGGAUUCUCUUCCUGAAAUCUCUGAAGCAUGAGACGCUUCUGUUCAAUGUCAGAGGAGUAAGGAUCCAACUGACCCUGACCCACUAUUGGAGAAGACCAUGUCUGACCCUUGUCCCUUUUUUGCAGCGUUACGUGCAUUGUAUCAUCCUCUAAAGUCCAAAAGGAAGAAUCAGUCUUCACUGGGCAGGAGAGUUCAUGAUUGAGAUAUGGGGGAUUGCCUUUGAUGCCAAGUUCAAGAUGUUUUGAUUGAAUCUUGCAAUAGAAUUGCUUUGGGUGAACGUUUGGAGGCAAAUUGAUGUAAAUAUUGACCUCUUCUAGGGUUUGAUCCCAUUCAAAUACAGUUUGGCCGUUGUGGAUGAAACAGUGACGCUUCUCUGGAGCCAAUUUCUCUGCCAUCUCAAGUUCUAGGGUUUG